CCCACGCCAGCGCUAAGGUAUACUUCCGGUACUCAUGGAACUCGAAGUGGUUCCCAAAUCCAUGGAGGAAAUCGCGCGGAGGCGACAUCACUCCGUCGAAAUGCUCAGGCAAACGUCUAUCCAGUACAAAGACCCCAUCCGCAGGUAUGCUUCCGCUCAAAUUGUGCCCAUCCAGUUUUGUAUCAGUCAGCUGUACUAACUUGCCAAUAGCAUUGGAAAUUUUCCAUGCAGUUAUGUUUUGUGUUAAUGCUAGAAUGUUAUUGUGACUUUGUAGCUUUAUAUAUAUAAUAUAAAACAUAUCUUGGUUUGUUGAAA